GUGCUAGCUUCAGCAGCACACAUACAGAGAUUAGCAUGGUCCCUGGGCAAUAAUGGCACAACAAUUUGUGAAGCAUUCCAUAUUUAA
rnacentral:snRNA from 1 species